GAUGAGUACAAAAAGCUAUUUGGAUGCUUAAUGGCAAUACUUGGAAGGUUAUAGGUACCAUGCAAAAAAACAUUACUAUUGUUAUUAUUUUAAAUUUCUUUUUGUAUUUUUACAAGAUAUAUGUGAUGAAACUUCUGCUUUCAAUCGCAGUGUUUUAUCAUUUACGUUAGAAAUCUUUUUUGGAGUUGAGACCAUUCAUUGGGAAACUAUUUUGAAGUCGUAAUGUUUUCUUCAGGAAAAAUCUUGUCUUUCUUGGAUGACACCAAGUAAGAUUUUUGCUAUCUUUGGCUGAGGUCUCACGAGCACAGCUUUAAGGGGGAAAAGGAUGUCAUCAUAUUGUUCCAUGUGGAUGACACCACACAAUGUUUUGCAGUCAGAAACUGAUUAUUUGGUUGAAUGUUGUCCUCGAGGCUCUUUCAAGACCCUUAAUAAGUAGGAUCUAUUUCCUUGUAAUUUUUGUAUCACUUGCAGUAAAGAUACCAAUAUAAUCUUCUUGGGCUUUGCAUCAACUUCUUAUACAACAGUUGGCAAAUUUUUUGAGCUACAUUAUAU
rnacentral:lncRNA from 1 species